UUAGUAUAGUAAAAAUAACUGCCUCUUUAAGCCUCGGUGAUUAGACAUAAACAGGAAGCAGUAGCUCCUUUAAGACUAAUAGCUCUGAGUAGUACACUUGAGCUGUGUGCUGGCGUUGUCAUAGAAUUGUGUUGAGCUCCCUGGGUAGAUAUGUUGUGGUGUGUUGAGCCGACUGGGUUGACAUGUGUUUGUUUCUAGUUUUUGUCAGCUCUCGCUAUAUCUUGAGCUCUGUGUUUUGAUGUGUCAUGGGCUUAUUGUGAUCACUCUUCAACAGUGUUGAAUAACAUCUGCAUUUCAUUUCUGGUUAUCAGUAAACAUCCUCGGGACUGAGCUUUCUUGUUUGGAUAAUAAAGGAUAUAAUAAUUAAGAUAAAGAUUUCUUCAAUGUUAUGGACAUGUAUCUAGUGAAAAUCAGAGUCAAGUAGCAAGAUAGUAACAGAGUAGCCAGAUUUAGUAUGUUGUGAGUUACACAAAAUAUCAAUCGAGCGCAAUAGUAAGAUCGUUGGCUUGAUCCAUGCACAAUUUAUUUUAUUGGGAACUUUUAAGGUUUCAGUGGUUAGUGAUAUCAUCUUCAUAUCAUGUGAAUGUUUUCUGCCAGGACAGUUGAGAGUCCUAUCUCAUUAAUGAUGACCUAACUCGGGUUUCUCUGAUUGGAUUAACCGCUUAUGUAAUUUUUUGUGUGUGUAGAGAUUUUUUGUGUGUUCAUGGUUGGAUUAUAGUCAUGACAGGAUCUCAAAUGAAGACAGUCUGGACCACAGUAAGUUAUUCUGUUAUUUCUUACGCAAUGCUAGUGGCCUAGACACAGAUGUGAGAUGCUUUUAUUGCUUUGAUGUUGUGUGUCUGCUGCCCUAACCCUGUGGAAUACAAUAAAUUGUUUGUUUCUUUCAUUCUUUUAUAUGCAUCCUUCCUAUCAAGUCGCAAGACUCGUUUAGACACAAUAGUGAUGGUAAAACUAAAUAGGCCUAUGUCAAGGGAGAGAAUGGUUGGCUGCGUUUUUUGUUUUGUUUUGUGAAUGUAAGGAAUAGUGUUUUCCACCUCAUCUAAUGACAUGUUCGUCAUUAUGACGCCAAGUUAUAUAGGGACAAAAAUUGUCAGUUUUUGUUAUCAGAUGCGUAUACACCAUUUACAAUAUUUAAUUUACUUGGAGGAAUUCGUUCACGUUGUAUGUCCAUAAUGCCUAUUGUUUGCACACAUUAUUUGAAUAGAUUAUUAGUGCCCCUUACUAAAGCAGUUUUGUUUCGUUUGUUUGCUUGUUCUGCUCUACAAAUUGAAGUUUCGAUUUAUCUAUCUAUCUAUCUAUCUAUCUAUCUAUCU
rnacentral:sRNA from 1 species